UUUGUGAUUAACAAUUCUAAAUUUAAUUUUAUAUUAGAAUUAUGUUAUAAUACUUGCUUAGAGCGAGUAUUAGGUCGGCAAAUAAAGGGAAAAACAUAAAUAGAAUGCUGUGACUCACGAAGCGGCGGAUUUAUUAGAUCAAAACUAACCUGUCCUAGACAGUUAUUUGAUGACUCUGGAUAACUUUACUGAUCGUACGACCUCUGUGUUGACGACGAAUCUCUUGAAAUGGCUGACCUAUCAACUUUCGAUGGUAAGAUCAAAGCUUACCAUGGUUGUAACGGGUAACGGGGAAUCAGUGUUCGAUUCCGGAGAGGGAGCCUGAGAAACGGCUACCACAUCCACGGAAGGCAGCAGGCGCGAAAAUUACCCAAUGCCGGUUCGGCGAGGUAGUGACAAUAAAUAACAAUAUGGACCCUAGUGGUUUCAUAAUUGCAAUGAGAUUAUUUUAAAUACUUUUUCAAGUAUCAAUUGGAGGGCAAGUCUGGUGCCAGCAGCCGCGGUAAUUCCAGCUCCAAAAGCGUAUAUUAAAGUUGUUGCAGUUAAAAAGCUCGUAGUUGAAAUUGAGGUAGAUGUAAUUUGAAAUCUUAUGAUUGAUUAUUACUAUACCUUUUCUUCGUGUAUAUUAGUGAGGGACUUAAUUGUUUUUUACUAGUAACCGAAAUGUUUACUUUGAAAAAAUUAGAGUGCUUAAAGCAGGCUUACGCUUGUAUAUUGUUGCAUGGAAUAAUAAAAUAGGACUUUGGUUUUAUUUUGUUGGUUUUCUUAACUAAAGUAAUGAUUAAAAGAGACUGCCGGGGGCAUAUGUAUGCUGGUGCUAGAGGUGAAAUUCUUAGACCAUCAGCAGACAAACUACUGCGAAAGCAUUUGCCAAGAAUGUUUUCAUUAAUCAAGAACGAAAGUCAGAGGAUCGAAGACGAUCAGAUACCGUCCUAGUUCUGACCAUAAACUAUGCCAACUGACAGUUCGUAAAGAUGAAUUAUGGUUGCAAAGCUGAAACUUAAAGGAAUUGACGGAAGGGCACCACAAGGAGUGGAGCCUGCGGCUUAAUUUGACUCAACACGGGAAAUCUCACCCGGUCCGGACACUGUGAGGAUUGACAGAUUGAUAGCUCUUUCUUGAUUCGGUGGGUGGUGGUGCAUGGCCGUUCUUAGUUGGUGGAGCGAUUUGUCAGGUUAAUUCCGAUAACGAACGAGACUCUGACUUACUAAAUAGUGAAUUUAUAUUCAAUUGUAAAUUCUCACUUCUUAGAAGAAUAAAUAGCGUUUAGCUAUAUGAAAUAGAGCAAUAACAGAUCUGUGAUGCUCUUAGAUGUCCGGGGCCGCACGCGCGCUACAAUGGCAGUACUAACAAGUUUUUCUAACUAGAAAUAGUCGUGUAAUCUCUUGAAACACUGUCAUAUCAGGGAUUGUGAAUUGAAAUUAUUUCACAUGAACGAGGAAUUCCUAGUAAGCGCAAGUCACUAGCUUGCGCUGAUUACGUCCCUGCCCUUUGUACAUACCGCCCGUCGCUACUACCGAUUGAAUGGUUUAGUGAGAUUGUUGGAUUCUGAUCUAAGAAAUGGCAACAUUUCUAUGAAUGGGAAAAGACACUCAAACUUGAUCAUUUAGAGGAAGUAAAAGUCGUAACAAGGUUUCCGUAGGUGAACCUGCGGAAG
rnacentral:rRNA from 1 species